UAAAAUGAGAGUUUGAUCCUGGCUCAGGACGAACGCUGGCGGCGUGCCUAAUACAUGCAAGUCGAACGCUUUUU
rnacentral:rRNA from 1 species